rnacentral:misc_RNA from 1 species
GAAAUGCGAUAAGUAAUGUGAAUUGCAGAAUUCAGUGAAUCAUCGAAUCUUUGAACGCACAUUGCGCCCGCCAGCACUCUGGCGGGCAUGCCUGUUCGAGCGUCAUUUCAACCCUCAGAACCCCUUGCGGGAUCUGGCGUUGGGGAUUGGCAUCCAGCCAGCCCCGAAAUCUAGUGGCGGUCCCUCCGCGACCUCCCCUGUGCAGUAGCGAUACCUCGCAGCGGGACAGCGGUCUGACCACGCCGUAAAACCCCCAACUUCUCAAGGUUGACCUCGAAUCAGGUAGGAAUACCCGCUGAACAUACGC